rnacentral:lncRNA from 1 species
AAAUUCCUUUGGCUAUUGAGACAUCAGCAAAUGUGAUGCAAGCAGAGGAUUUAAAAGUGCUUGUGUAUUGGGGCUUCCCUCUUUCUGUUCCCCCGAGAUCUCCAUGUGUAGAAACCCAGCCAGGCUUCUUAGAGGAAGAAACCAGUAAUGAGCCAUCCCAGCUGAAGCCUUCUAGACCAACCAGCUCCCAGGUGAUCUUCUAGCUGACGUCAGCUGCCUGAGUGACCCCAGAAAAGACUAGGAGAACUAUCCAGCUGACCCAAGCCCAAAAUUGCUGACUCACAGAAUUAUGAACAAAUAAAAUGGUUGCUGUUUGAAGUCAUUAAGUUUGGGGGAGGGGUGAUUUGUUACACAGCAGUAGAUAACUGACUCAGAGGCUUAGAAUUACAAUUAUAGAAUCUUAGUCAUAGAUUCCAUAUACCCCUAUGAGCAUGAAUCUUGAUUCUUGGGACCAGGGACUAGAAUCUUUGAUGUAGUAUCUAAGGAAUAGAAGGGCCCUGAGAACUCACUUCUUUAACUCCCACCCAGUACUACACACUCUUUUACAGACCAAUUGAUAGACCGAUUGAGUCACUCACCCUCUUCCAACCUGGAGCCCUCCUCCACCCAUAGCCUCCUUUAUUCUUUGGCAUUUCGUCCAUUCUGUCACAAGGUCUUCUUGCCCUACUCCUCAGCUGGCUUUUCAAUCCCUUCCUUCUACUUUAGGAAGACUUCCCAUGUUGAUCUGCUUGUUUGGGUCUUGGGAGCUAAAUGUCAAUGUGAUGAUAACUUGUCUUGUUAUUUAUCCCAGUUCCUGGCACAGUGCCUGGCACAGAGUGUGGGUUAAUGGACAUAUCCCGAAGAAAACCACCACCACCACCCUCCCACCAGCUCACUUGUUCCUGCUGUCGUCCCCUUACUACAGUGUUCCUGGAUCUGUCCGUGGUGCUGACUGUCUUUUUCCCCUUUGCCACUGUCUGCCUCAGAAUGGCUACUUCCAAAAGCAGUGCCGUAUCUAGGUGCGUAGUGCUGUGGAGGUGUUCGAAGGCCAUACCAGUAGAGGCGUCGGGACCAGCUGUUCCUAUGGUGUGACCUUGGCUGUGAAUUCAGGUGCCCACUCAUUUGAUUCUCUAGCUUUCUCAUCCAUUUUGAGCUUCCCAGUGGAAUUGCUAAUAAUUUUUUUUUUUUUUUGCUUUGUCGGAGUCAAUUUCUGUUGCUUGCAACCACAAAGGUUAGCUCCUAAAUCUUUCAGCAGUAAAAUAAAUUUCAGGCACUCGCUUUAAUUACCA